rfam:Homo sapiens chromosome X, GRCh38 reference primary assembly.
GCCGGGCUUGGUGGCACAUGCCUGUAAUCCCAACUACUUGGGAGGCUGAGGCAGAAGAAUUGCUUGAGUCCAGGAGACGGAGGUUGCAGUGAGCCAAGAUUGUGCCACUGCACUCCAGCCUGGCCAACAGAGCGAGACUCUGUCUCAA